rnacentral:tRNA from 11 species
GACUCUGUAGUUCAGCUGGUAGAACGGUGGACUGUUAAUCCAUAUGUCGCAGGUUCAAAUCCUGCCAGAGUCGCCA